UGCACUUUUUAUUUAAAGCCAUAGACUUCUCAUGAUCCAGCUAACCCCAACAUGAUUAGCCAACGAUCAAUUCACAAUUGAUGGGGGAAAUGCACCUGCUCUUAUUUUCUACGAAUGGAUGUUCGUGUGUUUCUGUAUGAGAUAUAAAUGGAGGACUUGGGACACACCUAACAGUUAAUGGCAAUGAAGUCCCCGUGACCAAGAGACCAUCCUCCUCCAGCAUUGCUCAUCCUAGAGAGAUAAGAGACCAUCCUCCUCCAGCAUUGCUCAUCCUAGAGAGAUAUUUCUAUCGGUUUAUCAGUGUCUUCUUUGAUAUUUCCAUCUGCCCUUAUUUGGCUUCAUUUUCUUUUAACCAGAGUAACCCUUGAUCAUCAAGACAGAAUCUCAAAAGAAUAGAACACGUUACAAUCCCAUUCUGUGCACGUGCUAGAGAGCAUCAAAGCCCA
rnacentral:lncRNA from 1 species